ACGGCUCAGUAACACGUAGUCAACUUACCCUAUGGACGAGGAUAAUCUCGGGAAACUGAGCAUAAUACUCGAUAGAUCAUAAUGCCUGGAAUGGUUUAUGGUUGAAAUGAUUCGUCGCCAUAGGAUGGGACUGCGGCCUAUCAGCUUGUUGGUGAGGUAAUGGCCCACCAAGGCGAUUACAGGUACGGGCUCUGAGAGGAGAAGCCCGGAGAUGGGUACUGAGACAAGGACCCAGGCCCUAUGGGGCGCAGCAGGCGAGAAAACUUUGCAAUGUGCGAAAGCACGACAAGGUUAAUCCGAGUGAUUUCUGCUAAAGAAAUCUUUUGCAAGUCAUAAAACCACUAGUGAAUAAGGGGUGGGCAAGUUCUGGUGUCAGCCGCCGCGGUAAAACCAGCACCUCAAGUGGUCAGGAUGAUUAUUGGGCCUAAAGCAUCCGUAGCCGGCUUUGUUAGUUUUCGGUUAAAUCCAUGUGCUCAACGCAUGGGCUGCCGAAAAUACUGCAUGGCUAGGGAGUGGGAGAGGUAGACGGUACUCAGUAGGAAGGGGUAAAAUCCUUUGAUCUAUUGAUGACCACCUGUGGCGAAGGCGGUCUACCAGAACACGUUCGACGGUGAGGGAUGAAAGCUGGGGGAGCAAACCGGAUUAGAUACCCGGGUAGUCCCAGCUGUAAACGAUGCAGACUCGAUGAUGCAUUGGCAUAAUAGCCAGUGCAGUGUCGCAGGGAAGCCGUUAAGUCUGCCGCCUGGGAAGUACGUACGCAAGUAUGAAACUUAAAGGAAUUGGCGGGGGAGCAC
rnacentral:rRNA from 1 species